rnacentral:snRNA from 1 species
AUCUGUUCUUAUCGGUUUAAUGUCUGCUAUGUCCACUACCCAAGUGCGGUAUAUUAAAUGGAGUUUUGAAACUGGGAGAUGGAAUAGGAGCUUGCUCUAUUUUCUCUACACAUUGACUUGGUAGUGCAGUAGCUCCAGGAAGGAUGC